CCCAUCUAAAACCUGCAGGACACCGGCCCUCAAGGCCUAGGAUGUGGGGUUUAAACGAUGCUCAGUUGAUACUGAGGGACCUAAAAUGUGUCACGAAAAUAUGUCCCACACAUUACAACCACCAGUACUCUGAGCCAUUGAUAAAAGACAGUAUGGAUCCUUGUUUUUGUGUUUUUUAUGCCCAAUUCUGACCCUACCAUCUGGAUGUCACCGCAGAAAUCAAGACUCAUCACACCAGGCAACCUUCUUCAAUUUUGCCAACAGAAACACGUCUUGACUCCAGAAUACCCAAGUUAAACCUUAACCCAGAGUGCCCUGCACUCAGGAAACAGGAAAUAAGAAAGACGUUUCAUGGCUCCACACUUGACUGAAUUCCAAUGAUGUUACUCCACAUCCAGCAACACAUGGUUCUCCAUCAGGUCUUUUAACUAACCCAGGCACAAGCAGCUGUGCAGCUGACCUGUUCCAUCAACCUGCCUGAGGGUGAACGUUAAGAGACGGCGAAGGUACUUUCUUGUUGCUGCCGUUAUCGCUGUGGGCCACACGGGCAGCCAGCAGGGUUAAUACGGCUUAAAGGGCAUUUGCCACCAGCAGCCUCUUACCUGGUCUCCUGGGAUUCAGGGCCACUUGGGAGGGGGAGGGGGAACUACUUGACUGCAUCAGAGAUUAUUUCAAGGAGACAGAAAAUGUAGAAGUGGCUCUCUCUGUGGAAUUUUUUUUUUUCUAAGCAAAAGGGAACCCGUGUCAGCCAAUUUGCUUUUAUACUCCAGUAAUCCUGUCUUGCUGAGAAGUGUACUUAUUCAACUACAUAAAGAACUGUGCUGUGUUUUGACUUUGUCAGUCAUGUUACUUUAUGUAAUAAAGCUAUCAUAAAGCAUGUGCACUUCAAACUCAAUACAAGGACUGGUCUUGAUUAGAUGCAAGAAUGUGAAAACUUUCAUACCGAACUACCUACACCGAGUGUGCACAGCCUUGACAGUGUUGGAGUGUAUACAUGGAAUAUGCUCCAACUUCAUAAGCUCUUUCAUGAUCAUAUAGCCUUCACUCUGUGUCUAUUUUUAGUGGUGUUUCCGAGUUGGACUAGAAAUAUCUUAGGGAUGUAAAUCUGAGUCCAAAACCACAUUACACAGUGUCUACACUGUGUAAACAGUGUGUAACUAUAGACAGAGAAGUUGAUGUUAAUGCAAAUAGUCUGAUCAGCUGUUGUUUUUGGUUAGAAGCCACAUGGAGAUGUUAGUGGUUAACGCUUGGUUAAAGUAUGCUGCUCUGGAAAAAAGCUGCAAUGUUUAGAGUAUUCAGGAAAAAUGUUAAGUGGAAUUAUAAUAAC